AAGUUCUUGUUCUUGCUUGCAAAGAAAAGGGUUAUAGCAAUGAAAAUCAAAGCUAAUAAAAGAUUCUCCGAUGUGGCUAUUUGUUCUCUUCUCAAAUAAAAGAAGAAAAAGAAGGAGACUGAGAAGAAAGUGAAGAAAGAAAGCGUAACCAUAGUGAGAACAGGUGUGAACCGGGCCGAACCGGUCCUUUUUGGAGUUGAACCAGACCGCUGCGGCUUUCUUCUAUCUUCUCUUUUUUUCCCUUCUAAUUCUUGCUGUUGCUGUUGUAGCUGCUUCUGCUCGGGUUUGAUAAGGUCCUCCUCGGCUACAGAAGUUAGGCUGUGAAAGGACGAUCGGACGGGGGGGNNNNNNNNNNNNUGGUUUCUUGUGAGCUUCGCUUGGCUUUUUUGGCCGUCCAUUUCUGGGUGUGGGUUCCAAGGAGAUCCAAUCUCCACCGUCUAAAAAUCCCCCUCCUUAAAUCUCCUAGUUGUCCGUCCUGUACCUCGAGAUUCUGAUAAUCGUUGGUGUAACUGUUCCCGCCGGCGACAUAUCUCAGGGGGCGCACGUUAAGCAGUGGCAAAGCGCGCACGCUAGCACACUCAAGAAAACACAGAAACUAGAAAGAAAGUUCCAUCUUUUUGGAAAGAUAAACG
rnacentral:misc_RNA from 1 species